GACGAACGCUGGCGGCGUGCUUAACACAUGCAAGUCGAACGGAAAGGCCCUGCUUUUGUGGGGUGCUCGAGUGGCGAACGGGUGAGUAACACGUGAGUAACCUGCCCUUGACUUUGGGAUAACUUCAGGAAACUGGGGCUAAUACCGGAUAGGAGCUCCUGCUGCAUGGUGGGGGUUGGACAGUUUCGGCGGUUGGGGAUGGACUCGCGGCUUAUCAGCUUGGUGGUGGGGUAGUGGCUUACCAAGGCUUUGACGGGUAGCCGGCCUGAGAGGGUGACCGGCCACAUUGGGACUGAGAUACGGCCCAGACUCCUACGGGAGGCAGCAGUGGGGAAUAUUGCACAAUGGGCGGAAGCCUGAUGCAGCAACGCCGCGUGCGGGAUGACGGCCUUCGGGUUGUAAACCGCUUUCGCCUGUGACGAAGCGUGAGUGACGGUAAUGGGUAAAGAAGCACCGGCUAACUACGUG
rnacentral:rRNA from 1 species